rnacentral:rRNA from 1 species
CCAAUAGCGUAUAUUAAAGUUGUUGCAGUUAAAAAGCUCGUAGUUGAAUUUCGGGAUCAAGGAAUCGGUCAUGCCUUGGUAUGUACUGGUUUUAUUGGUUCUCACCUUCUAAAGAACCAUAAUGUCAUUUAUUUGAUGUUAUGGGGAAUUAGGACUGUUACCUUGAAAAAAUUAGAGUGUUUAAAGCAAGCUUACGCUUGAAUACAUUAGCAUGGAAUAAAGAAAUAGGACAUCAGAUUCUAUUUUGUUGGUUUCUAGGAUCGAUGUAAUGAUUAAUAGGGAUAGUUGGGGGCAUUAGUAUUCAAUUGUCAGAGGUGAAAUUCUUGGAUUUAUUGAAGACUAACUACUGCGAAAGCAUUUGCCAAGGAUGUUUUCAUUAAUCAAGAACGAAAGUUAGGGGAUCGAAGACGAUCAGAUACCGUCGUAGUCUUAACCAUAAACUAUGCCGACUAGGGAUCGGAUGAUGUUAAUUUUUUAAUGACUCAUUCGGCACCUUACG